UCUUUUUUUCUAUUUUCUGCCCUCUUCAUUUUUUUUUUUCAUAUUUUUCCGUUUUCUCCUCCUUUUUGCCUAUUUUUUGCCGUUUCUCUGCUCUAUUUUCUGCUUUUCUGGGCUGCGUGAAGCAGGCGUGCCCUCGGCGGUUUUGGGGAAAAACGGCCGCAAUUUGGGUUAAUUCGGGGUGGAGCCACUCCUCAGCCUCCUCCUCAAAUUCAUUACAAU
rnacentral:lncRNA from 1 species